UACGGGGGGGGCAAGCGUUGUUCGGAAUUACUGGGCGUAAAGGGCGCGUAGGCGGCUCGCUAAGUCGGGUGUGAAAACUCUGGGCUCAACCCAGAGCCUGCAUUCGAAACUGACGGGCUAGAGUUCUGGAGGGGAAAGCGGAAUUCCUGGUGUAGCAGUGAAAUGCGUAGAUAUCAGGAGGAACACCGGUGGCGAAGGCGGCUUUCUGGACAGAAACUGACGCUGAUGCGCGAAAGCUAGGGGAGCAAACAGGAUUAGAAACCC
rnacentral:rRNA from 1 species